UCGAGAAUUUUUCACAAUGGGCGCAAGCCUGAUGGAGCGACGCCGCGUGGGGGAUGAAGGUCUUCGGAUCGUAAACCCCUGUCAUUUGCGAACAAACCUCUUCUGAUAACACCGGAAGAGUUGAUUGUAGUGAAAGAGGAAGGGACGGCUAACUCUGUGCCAGCAGCCGCGGUAAUACAGAGGUCCCGAGCGUUGUUCGGAUUCACUGGGCGUAAAGGGUGCGUAGGUGGUGGGGUAAGUCUCGUGUGAAAGCUCGCAGCUCAACUGCGAAAAGUCACGGGAUACUAUUCUGCUGGAGGGUUGGAGGGGGGACUGGAAUACUUGGUGUAGCAGUGAAAUGCGUAGAUAUCAAGUGGAACACCAGUGGCGAAGGCGAGUCCCUGGACAACACCUGACACUGAGGCACGAAAGCCAGGGGAGCAAACAG
rnacentral:rRNA from 1 species